UUUUAACUUCUUCAAGCAUAAAAAUGUAAAUUCACCCAAAAAGUCAAAUGAAAUUAUGAAGUACACCAAAACUCAUGACUCUUGGCAGCUCUGUGCAAUGAACACAGGACGAGUACAGGUUAAACUGGGAAUACGGGAUCAGAGAGAUGGUUCAGUGAGUAAAGGUGCCUGCUGCCAGGCCGAAGGCCUGACCCUGACCCCUAGAAAUCAAACGGUAGAUAGAGAGGACAGGCUUCUGCAAGCAAGCGGUCCUCUGACCCCACAUGCAUGGCAUAAUCCACAUGCCACCCCUUAUGCCAAUUAAUAAAUAAAAAUGUAACACAACUUUAAAGGGGGAAAUUAAGAAAUCUAUAUAGAACUCAGAAGGCCCCUUUAUAUGUGCGUUUCUAUGGAGACAGCAGUAAACUGAACUGCAUUGCUUCUGUGAAUAUCCUUUGGAUUGGGUCAUUACUUAAAAUCAGUUUUCUCUUACUUUUUUCUAGGCAGUUCUCCCAUUUCUACUCCUGUCUACCUUUUUAUCUGAAUAUUUCUUGCUCAGUCAUUCCUGAGCCUAUCCCAGGACCAAGUGAGAGAUACCAACAACAGAACCCUCAUUCACUUUCUGCACACUAGGCUGUUGGGGUUUCCAUGAGUCUCUUACUGAGGUUCUGAAUUUCAUCACCUCAUAAACAGAAUCAUUACAAACCACUGACCCAAGGGUGGGGACAGAGUCACAAAUGAUGACAGGGAGGUUUGCCCUCUGCAGCUGAUGGACUCAUGGGAGAAAGACACAACAAUGAAAUGGCAAGAACUAAGAAAAAAUGAGGCAAGCUGAAUACCCAGCAAGAGAAUAUAAUGUGAUGACAGUUUCCAUCUUCUUUGGAGAGAGAGUUAUGAGUCUUGGGUGUGAAAGGCCCAGCACAAUGGAGACUGGUGGCAGCCCCCCCAUCGGCUCACCGCCUUCUUUAAAGUCCACAGAGGAUGGCAGUUUGGAUGGAAACCCCAAAAUCUAUUCUGUCCAUCUGUUUUAUUAUUCUUAGAACAACUGUCAAAAGUUGCCCAGGGAUCAAGUUGCAAACGUACUAAUUUGCCUUUGAAAAGUGGGCCCUGGGGGAAUUCUGGAACUCUGCUUAUAAAUGCAGAAUCCCCUCAGCCAGCCAGCCUGCCCUACCCUUUGUGGAGGUAUGAGACUUUGCACUUCCAGGCAUACAUCUGCCUCAAGGCUGGGAUGCCCUGAUAGACUUGCAUCCCACUUCAUAGGCAAAUGAAGGGGAGCCACAGGGACUUGGCAUCUUAAGGGCUGGCUUGUUCCCUGACAAGCAGACUGAGUGCUUUAGGAGGCAGCCCCUUCAUUGAUCAUGGGUGGAUGAAAGACCAAAGCUUUGUACUGGAGGGUUAAAGGCGUGAACGUGCAAAGGGAUACCCGUUCUGUACUCUUUUAUAUCCCUGGGCCAAACAGGAGAUAGGAGCCUGAAAUAAAACACUGAAGAAAUAAGCUGAAGAUAAAAAACUAUAAGCCACUGAACGUGGUGCCAUUUGUGUUUGUGGCUAUGCUGAAACAAUAACAACAACAACAGAAAGUCUGGACAGACAGACUGUCAGACGUGGUCUUGUCAGGAAUUACAAGCCAUACCUAGAGAGCGGUCAUGCUAAAAUACUGGGGCAUUUAGGCAACAUGCUACUCUGCCCACAAGUAAAGCCUGUUCCUUAAGCUGGCUGUGCUCAGGGCGUGUGCACACACUGCAUCUGGAUGGAAGUGCACGUGGGCUCACCGGAUAUAGUAAGAUGAGGGGCAAGGGCCAGCACUGAUGGGGGUCACUCCUAGUGACCAGCCUUCUCCACUAGGUCCCAGUGGCAAAAAGCUUUCAAUGCAUAGGACCACAGAACCAUACCUGCAAAACAAGAUGGUUUAGGGUUCUGAGUUUCUCAGUUCUAGAGAAAACUGAAAAAGAGGUCCCGUCAGGGCUCCCAUGAUGGCAUUUGGCUUGUACUCACUCAGAUUACCAAAAAAGUAUGCGGCUUUGAUUAAAAAGUUCCUCGAGCAUGUUGCAAAUGACUGCGGCAGGAAACCUGCUGGGAGCCCACUGCAGACGCACAGAAGGGAUCACCAGUUGGACCUGCUGCUUUGUCCUCCUUCUUAUUAUAAUAAGGCAUGUAUUAUCCUUUUUUAGAGAUUUGAAUAACAGAAAGUCUCACUUUCAAAAUAGUGCUUAUGAUCCCAGAGUCGACGAUGUUUUCUGUUGGUGCGGUCUCUUCAAAAUGGGAUGGAUAAUUAGUAAACUGAAAUUUGAUUAAUGUUGGAUUAAGAGGUUCGGAUGCUUUCCUGCAAUGUGUUAUUUCAGUCUGUGGUCACUGGAAGAGACUAUCUUUAGGAAACCUGUUCCCUCUGUUUUCCAGAACGAAAAGAUGAGCUUCAAACCUCGUCUUUUAAAUAAAGAGAAUUCAGUCUGAACAAGUCAGAUCUUUUUCUCUCUCCUUUCCCCCUCUAUUUUUAAAAAUUGUCUGUCACUCUGAAGUUGGAGACCAUGAAUUAAUCAAGAACAAAAUAAAACAGAAAUACAAGUCUUCCUCAAAAUCGCUCAGGGUGAGUCCUUCCUGGUUAUAGUGGGCAACUAGGCAUAGACAGGUUUUGACAGCCUCUGCUCUCGUAGGCUCCAGCACGGGCUUUUGGGAAAGUAAAGAACUCUGGAAACAAAAGGUCUGCCUGGCCUGGUAUAGAUUCCAGUCAUUGAAGUAACCGUUUAAAUAAAUAAUAUUCCAGGAAAAACUUAUAGUAUUUUGUGCUUUCAAAUAUCAGGGUGGAGUUACCUCUUGUAGGUUUCCUGCAGUUACCUGAGCCAGAUGAUGACCAUUUUCAUGAUCAGUGGCCAGGUUCUUUUUUCCUGUGUUAAAAUUCACGUUGUUCCCCUAUUGCUGAAGAGAGUGGAAGAAUUAGAAAUGAUGGCUCCCUUUGAAGCUAUGUCAUUCCACGUAACUGUAAAUGCUAAGACACUGUCAUUUACGGAAUGACCUUUUGGUCUUUGAAUAUUUAGACAUCAAUAAAUGCCAAAUGCCCAGAUAUGCUCACAGCACUAUGAGGAAGGUAAGCAGGGUCAGCUAACACCCUCUCGCAUGCCUUUGGCAUGACAACCAUUUUCACUUUUCUAACAGCUUUCUAAUAGCAAAAUGUAUUUAGGAACAACAGUGGAAUUUGUGUCAUCAUGACCAAAUGAUUACGGUGCAAACCCGAGAUUCUUCUGGGGCCCAGCAGGUUUCUGGUCCCUAUGGAAACGAAACCUCAUACAUUGUCCUCCACUCAGCUGUAGGACAAGGCCGGGAGGCUUUUGUGCUCAGUGAGAUUUCUUCCACAACCUUCCCGCAACAGACCCCAGCGCUUCCUCCCAACGCCUUUCUAAUUGAGAUGCAAAUGCAUCUCCCUGGCUGAUUACACUUCCCUUAAAGCAACUGACGAAGGCAGCUGUAACUGGAGUUUGCAGACGGUCCAACAAGUGAUUUCAGCUGUCAGUAUUUGCAUGCUUGGCCUAGACCAGGCCACUGCCUACUGGUCUCAGAACUUCCUUUGCGCAUCGGAGGGGUUUUUAUUUAUGUGCGUAAAAUUUACACACAUUACUAGUUAAAAAAAAUAACCACCCCUGCCCCAGCAACCUACUUAUAGGGCCUUGGAUCUGAAAUAACAAAAAACUCAGGGCUUUCUGGCCAUUUCCCUCUCAGCCUUCACUGGGGCUGUCUGUCACUCCUUCCUGAAGGUCUAAGCUGUGGUGGCCACAGUAGGGGGUCUCCAUGUAAGUUUUCAGACCUUAACCGUCUUUGAGCUCAUUUUUCCUCCCUAAAUACUCAUGUUUCUUUGAAAACUGAUUGCUGAAUAGUCUUUAUGUUGCUUUCACAUCGCUCGAGUCUAUUAAUUUCAAAAUACAAAGCCCUUCAAUAACUUUUAGGGAGAUAUCUAUACUCUAUCAAUCCCUCAUGUACGAGGACUGAACCUAGGACUUUACAUGCUAAGGAAGUGCUCUACCACUGUGCAGGCUUAUCUUUUGUCAACUUGACAAAAGCUAGAAUUAUCUGAAGGGAGGGACUCUUAAUAGAGGAGUUGCCUCCAUAAGAUUCAGCGGUAAGGCAUUCUCUUAGUGAUUGAUGGGGAAGGCCCGGCCCAUUGUGGGUGGUUCCAUUCUUGGGCUGGUGGUUCUGGGUUUUGUAGGAAAGAAGGCUGAGCAAGUCAUUAGGACCAAGCCAGUAAGCAGCAUCCCUCAAUGGCCUCUGCAUCAGCUCCUGCCUCCAGGUUCCUGCCAUUUGAGUUUCUGUCCUGACUUCCUUCCACGAUGAACAGUGAUAUGGAAGUGUGAGCCAAAUAAACUCCUUUCUCCCCAACUUACUUUUGGGCAGUGGUGUUUCAUCGCAGCAAUAAACCCUAAAUCUCCAGCUACAAAAUUGUUUUGGACACAAUAAAAGGAAACAUUAACAUAACCAUCCAAUAAAAGAAAAUUUCAUAUAAUACCUAGUUUUCCAAGAAUUUUUUCCAGCUUUUCAAAAGGCCCUUUAUGCUGUUUUUAAGACGUGCUUCUGAAGUCAGCUCUUCCUACCAGGCACCAGGUAUCGCAGGUGCUUUGAGUGUUUAGCACAGAGCUGAACUGUGUGUCUUCAAAAUGGAAAAGCAGGGCUUACAAGGUACAGCAUAUGCAGAUGACAACACAGGCUGUACAUGGACCUACUUUUCAUUGGAGACAACGAAUGCUCCCAACUCUGGGAAAAAAAAUGCAGUGUUAUAAAGUAUUUGUUUUAUCUUUUGAUACUGUUUCCCACAAUAAGUUUACCAAAUGAAUGUCUUUUUUUUUUCUUUUUCUUCUUCUUUUUUCUUUUUUUCCGGACCUGGGGACCGAACCCAGGGUCUUGCGCUUGCUAGGCACAAGUGCUCUAUCACUGAGCUAAAUCCCCAACCCCCAAAUGAAUGUCUUAUUUCUUGUCGCUGCCCUGCCCCCAGCCCCACCACCUUUACACACAUACACAUAAUGUACCAGGAGGUAACAAGGAGAGUGACAAUAAGAAAAAGAAAACAAGGCCCACUCUGGGAACUUCACGGUACAGCUCUGAGCUGCAUGCUUAAUGCAGAGGUGGACUGAUCUGGACUCGUAAGUCAAGGGAGCAAAAGACUGUGUGGGUCAGACAGUGAGGAGGAUGAGAAUCUAUACCACAGGAGAGACCCACGAGUAGCAUGUGGGGCGAGGUGCAGCAAACUGACCCUGAGGUCAGCAUAGUGGGAAGCAACACCCCCGCCCAUGACAGCUUGCAGUGUGACAGGGUGAUCCAGUUGAGACAGUGGCCAAGUUAGUGCCCGGCUCCUGUGCAUAUUUCCCCGGGCACAGCAUUAGCUUGGUUUCUUACACACUAUUCAUUAGAAUGCUUAGUGUUCUUGAGAUUGGGUCUUUUUAACUGUCACUGCACACCAAAAAUAGCAAAAUGGUUACUGUGUCUUCACAAAAAUAUCCCCUGCAACUAGGCGCUCCCUAUAGGCUUCGGGGCAGCUUUGAUCUUAGGGAGCAGAAUGGUAUGGCAGGGUUUCUAUACAAGGGUGAGGAGACACCUCCUACCCUUUACUUUAGUAUUUUCUAGGUAAAAGGUCAACACUCCUGGCAUGUAACCUCCAGCUGGGAUCUUUGAAUCUGCACACCUGAGCUUAGAACCCCUUAUUUAUGGGAAUCAGACUGGUGGCACCACUUCCUGGACUUCCAUCCACACAAGGUCCUGCUUUAUUUACUGUUGGGACCCGAACUCAUGGGGAGGAACCAUGAUGGUGGUGCUGGCACUGGGUCUCAUGAGGUGGGGACUAUGGUGGCUAUAAGGAUAGGUACCCUGUGAAGAGAUCUAAUAGGCUCAGAUAUUCUUAUUCUUUAGAAGAAAGUGGUUUUUCUAAUCUACAUUUUGGGAGGAUGAGGGGAUGGUUCAGCAGUAAGAGUGCUUAUUGCACAUCCACGAGGAGCAGAGUUCAUGCCUUAGCACUUGAUAUGAGCCAGGUAUCCCACAAAUGCCUAGAACCCUAGCUCUGAGGGAUCCAAUGUCCUCUUUUAGCCUCUAAGAAAACAGUUGCUCACACAUAUGCAUAUAUACUCACAUAGACACAUGCAUACACACAUAAAUUAAUAUUUAACUGGAAAGAAGCCUCAAUGGUUAAAAGUACACACUGCUUUUACAGAGGGCCUAGGUUUGGUUCCCAGUACUAACAGGGGAACUUACUACAGUUGUAACUCCAUGCCUUCUGACUUCUGCAGGCUCCUGGUAUACAUGCAUGCAUAUAGGCAAAUCCUCCCCACCCCCAAAACAGUGGUUCUCAAUGUUCCUAAUGCUGAGACCAUUUUAAUACAAUUUCUCAUGUUUUGGUGACAUUUUUUGUUGCUGCUUCAUAAUUGUAAUUUUGCUACUGUUAUGAAUCAAGAUGAAAAUAUCUAUGCUUUCCAAUGGUCUUAGGUGGCCCCUGUGAAAGGGUUGUUCCAUUCUCUAAAGGGGUCAUGGCCACAGGUUGACAACCACUGACAUAAAAUAUUCCCUUUUAAAAAGAGAUCUACAUUUUAAAAAAUGCAGUCUCCCUGUUUUUCACUGUGCUAACAAUCUCCAGUGUUUUGGUAACACAGGGAGGCCAAGUGCAGUUCAAACAAAGCCCAUCUGUAGGCUGGAUUCAGUGUGCAGGCAGCUGGUUUGCCAGUUCUGGGCUCUGAUUGUUUGCCUGACACUGAGCUAGAGCUGCUCUGUGGCUGCCUCUCCCCACUGGUCUCCGAUCUCGGCCCAUUUACAACCUCCCAGGUCCUAGAGGUGAUGCCUUCUUGGUUUUAACAGCUUCCAGAUAGCUGAGGCUGCAUAAUAACCACACUUUAUCCAGAUCUGCUCUGAGAUGAGAGGCCCUUCUUCCAGUGUGGCCCCCAGAGCAGCACACUACCUUUUGGAUAGGAACACUUGAGGCUGCAGGAGCAGACAGUACCCUAAUGCUUGUGCGUGGAUCUUGUGCUUUUCUGCACCAUGUCCUAGAAGUGUUACAUGUGACAUUCUCAUCUCUCAUCUCAACUCUGUGGUCACUCCACAUCUCCAGUGCUGUUCAGGAUGGCUCCUAUCAACUCACAGCACCCAGUCCUGCCCCGACACAGCUGGUUACCCAGGCCACUCCUUUCUGGUCUCACUGUCUGGGCCCAAGGGAUCAUCUGCUGAGACAGCCCUGGUUUCUGACCUUGCCUGGGAUUACUUUACCCAUUUGAGGAUGAUAGUUGUAGAACUCGGCUAAGUCAUUAAUACAAUAGUUACGUGGAAGAUGAGUAGGAAGAUGUACAGACAGUGUACAUCUGUACGUAGCGCAGUGUAGCUUCAGGACUGAAGCGCUGCAGUUCUGGCCACAGGGAAGCCAUCCGUCGCUCAGGGUCCCAGAGCUCUCGCUCAUAUCUUCCAGGUGAUCAAGAUAUUUUGUCAAAGUUAAGAUUUGUAUUUGUAAGCUUCUAGGCUCUGAAGAAAAUGUGUUUGUGACACCCUUACUCUUUGAGAACAUGUUCCUUUCUGAAGUUUCAGGGUCCUUUUUUAAUGAUUUAGCUUUACAGAUUUAUAAGGGAUCCAAGCAAAAUUUCAAAAUGCAGCCUUUAAUCCUAUUUGUAAAUAAGGGAAUCUUUUUCUUGUUUACAGUUUUCAGUUUACCUUUUAUUCAGCAUGAUUACUCGUGUGUGUGUGUGUGUGUGUGUGUGUGUGUGUGUGUGCGCACGCUCACGUGAGCACAAGCGCCUGUACACAGAAGCGUCUCUUACAGCUCUGAGCUCUGAUGCAUAUCUGCUCUGUGUAAGGGCGGAAAUGGGUGGCUCUGAAUAGGGACUUUACUUGCAGGGGCCAAUCUCCAUUCUUUUUAUUGUACUCUCUGUGCCAUGACAGCUCCAGAAGCUGGGGACUCUGGGGACAUUAUUAUGAGUGCUGAUCUUUAAAGCACUUGGAGCACUUCCUUUAAUCUUUUUUUUUUCCAUCUUUAUUAAAUUGGGUAUUUCUUAUUUACAACUUCCUUUAAUCUUAAUGUACAGAUUUUAAACACAAAUUUAUCAUAAACCAACUGCCUGGGCAACUACCACGGUUGCUUUUUCAUGCCUGCCUCUUUUCCUAACUUAAAAUUUAUAAUGUAAAGAUCUCAUUAUUAGGAAUCAUUAUUAGGAAUCUUUCACCCCUGGGAAAAUGUAGAACUUGGCCUCUCAAGUUUUUGCACCGUGCUUCCCACGUGUCUAGAGUACAGUUCUAUUUCUACUUUUCUCCCAUCCACAUACAAACUCUAGCACAAACCCACUAUUCUCUGCAACACUCAGAGUCACAACAAGUUCUUUCAAGUUGUGAAGACGUGAAGCAUAGGUGCUGCAUUUUGUGUUUUGCUUCUUGUUUCCUGAGCGAUGAGACUGGCUGCCAGGCAAGACCUCGGUACAUAUUUGUUGAAUGGUAGAGCGCUUCAGUCAAUUCUGCGCAGUAGAGACAGCCAGUGCAUGGUGUUGUGGUAGACUGUUAAGGCCCCCAUCCCUCCAGUGUCACCCAUGCCUUCCAGCUGCAGCCUUUGCCUGCCAUUCAGUCUGUUUAAAUUUAGUUCCCUCCCAUUAAUUUCCCAUCCAUAAGUAUGCAAUCCCACCCCAAAGUGUCUUCCUUCUUUUUGGAAACUACCUACUAUGUUUUGGGUUUUCCCUUUUUGGUAACUCAGUUUUCAGUCCUCUUACACCCAAUUUUCUCCCAUCUAUAUACAAACUCCAGUACAAACUCACCAUGAUCAGCAAAGACCUGAGACUACUGGCCCCAGUGAUGGAUGAAGUCAACUACUAGUAUAUGACUUGCUCAGCCAGUUCGCUGAAAGAAACGCUUCCUCUCUCCCCUCUGGCUUCCCUUUUCUUAUGUCUCUAUGGCUACAAAACCUAUUCCUUCCUGUUCCACAGAACGCUAUCUAUGGUUAUGCACUGAAUCAGCCCAAUGCCUACAGAGGUUCAGACCUGUUCCCUUGCCACUGCUACAGAGCAGGCCCUGUUCUCUCCCAGACAGAACUCCUUCCAGGGCUCUGCGCAGGCUCUCACUGCCUGUCCUCGCUGUGUGCCUGUUCCCGUAUGUGCAUAUCCUGCACUCUGCCAUACGGAAGCAUCUGUUAUUCUCAUAUGGAAUGGGCUUUCAUAGCCUGGUCCAUGAGCAAACAGUGUCCUCUCUCCCUUGGAAUAUCUUAUUCAUAUUUAUAUUCCUAGUGGUUAGGAUGGUGCCUGGCACAUGGCAGGAAAGCUGCAAAUGCUGACACGUGCAUAAUUGGUUGUGCAUGGUGAAAUAAAACACAUGGUAUGGUUUGAUUUCCUUUCUACAGCAUGGGGAGAUGGGCAGAAGAAAUCAAAGGUCUGUCCAGGAAGAAGAGCUCAGGAUCCCAGUGGAGAAGAAAGAGCUUGAGCUGUUAGUACUUUAAAGAGAAGGGUCAUUUUUGAAGCUGUGUAAAUUAGGAGCAGAAUCUAGCAAUGCUAUUAAACUCACAUAUCUGAGAGAGAAGCUCUAGUAUUACCAUAUGGUCAUGUACCUGUUAGCUUACAAUGAGAGCUAAUUUCACUUGUGACAGAACAAGGCAUAAAACUUUUUC